UCCUGACAGCAUCUGUUAAAAGUCACUGGUGCCAGUUAAUAAGAGACCCACCAGGCAGGAGGGACCCUAAGACUCUGGGGGAAGGAGAGAGCGAAGCGCUGUCUGGACGACAUCACUGGAGGUAGGGGGUGGGCUUUAUAAAUCUCUCCAGCAGCAAUAUUUAAACCCGAAAUUCUGUCCUUAGAGCUGGCGUUGCAGGACGGUGAAGGGCGCGCAGAGCCCCGCUCCACGCCUUUAGUGCGGAUCAAAGAAAGGGGGAUGGGCGGAAACUCAGAAUCCUGGGGGGGAGUAGUCAGAAUUUCUCCUCAGGGAAGCCUCUUGUGAAAAUGCAAGGACGUCUCCGCUCCUCUUUUCAAUUAUGUAACUCUUACACAUUUGGGAGAAUACGCAUGAACAUAAAUUUAAUUACUUAUGAAACUAGAAAGUCUCCAAAUAGGCUGCAUUUAAAGCUCUGGGGGCUUCUGAAGUCUUACUAGACCUGGUUGCCACCUGGCAGCGUUAGAGGAUGUCAUCCUAGGGAUUGGACUCCCACCCACCCCUCCCUGGUACCCACAGCGCGGGCAGCCGGGUCGCCGCUAGGGUAUGGGGCCCUCUCGGCACGGCAGGAUCGGCGCGCACCCACCGCCGCGUCGCCAGGACCAGCAAGUCCGCAGGCGGCGGGGCGAGCUGUCCCCUCCCCCCACCACCGCGAACACCUGGCCCGCGGUUACCUGCGGGACCGCGACUCUCCGCAGCCCACUGGCCGGCUCCCCGGCGCCCCUGCCUUUGGCUGCGGGGAGAUGCCCGAGCCCGGGCGCCCGCGCCGCGCCCUCCGCGGGGCCAGCACAGGGCUCGCCGGGGCCUUCAUCCGGCGCGGGGAAGAGCCCGCAGCGGCGCUGGAAGCGGGCGACGAGCUGGGAAUCCUGCAGGCUCCAGAGCAGCUCGGCCAUGGUGAUCCCGGGGCCGCCGCCGCCACCACCACCCGGUGCCCCCCGCUCGCACCGUCCCUCCUGCCUUCGCCCUCGCCGGGCCGGGCGCUCGGGGUGGCGGGCGGGGCCCGGGGCGCCAGCCAACAGGUGCGCCGCUCGGGUCCUAGCGCCCGCCCCGCGCACGCGGACGUCCAGGUGUUCGCCUUGACCUUGCGCCAGGCACGUCCGCCCUCUUUUCCUUCCCGGCGGGCCCGGGCAGGCUCGGGCGAUCCCCGGCGUCCGGCCCGCUCGGAACUGGGCGAAAGGGUACAGGUGUCUACACCGCGCCUCUCUGCGCCCGAGCGCGCCUCCUCCACCCCUCCCGGCUGGUGCAGAAGUGCUACCUAAUGGGGAGCGGCCGAGCACGUGUGGGCCUGCACCUUUAGACCCGAAGAGAACAAGGUGUUGAAGGACCGCGAGGAGGUUGACUUCUCCCCACACCUGCACCUGCUUUAGGGAUCUCAGCAGAACAGCAAAGAAAACAUCCUGCUGGUCGACCUUGGUUUUCCCUCCUCCCUCCUGAAUCUUCUAGCGGCACGGCACUUCCUCACAGGGAGUGAAAGGCAACAGUCAAAUUAGGCCCAGAUGACCUGCUUGCAACGAAAGUGCAACUCAAUCCUUCUGUCUUCAGUCUGCAGCUGAAGGCUGAGCAUUUCCUGGUGGCCCAGGAUAAAUGUCAUCAUUGUCAAAGUUCUGGCCAAUGGGAAGUAUUACAUUCUUCUUUAUUCCUGCUCCCUGCAAUGCAGAGGUGAUAGCUGGAGUUCUAACAGCAAUUUUGAACCAAGAGGUGACAAAGAAGAUAGAAGUUAUUCACUGGGGAUGACAGGGCAGACAAAUAUUGCCCAGGUCUCUGUGGACCCUGUGGAUCCAGCAUACCACAGUCCCAGUCUAUGUGUGGAUUUCUUUUGCAAGUGAGCAUAAACUCUGUGCUUAUAAGACACUUUUAUGUUGGGUUCUCUA